rnacentral:tRNA from 1 species
UAGCUCAGUUGGUAAAGAAUCUGCCUACAAUGCAGAAGACCCUGGUUCAAUUCCUGG